GUGUAUCUGAUUUUAUGUUGAGGUCCUUGAUCCACUUGGACUUGAGAGCACCUGAUUCUUAUUGAAGUCCUCCUGUGUUCAUCUGUGAAUGCUGAUCCACCUGUAGGUGGCUUUCAGUCCAGGAGGUUUACAGGCUUCCAGGUGUGUUGCUGUGAGAAUGUACCUCACAGCACCCUGUAGAGGCUGGUAACCAGGCAUACAUUGAAAAAAAAAUGACAAGAAGUGUAUGGACAACAACAGAACUUCUAGUGAAAAACAGACAACACAAGGAGUUACGUCGAAAGGACUGAGAGCCUUUGUCUUAGUAGGACCUUAAAAGAGCCCCCCUUUCCAGUGGAAGAAAGACAGCAUUUUCAACAAUUGGUGCUGGCACAACUGGUUGU
rnacentral:lncRNA from 1 species